AAAGUUACUUACAUGAAAGGCAUAGCCAGCCAUCAUGACCCCGAGUUAUGCCUCGACGUGCAGAAAUGCAGUGGGGAAGCAUUGACAGGGGGAAGCACAGGCACAACUAUGAGCUCCGAAAUCACCUCAAUUCGCAGGCUGACUUCA
rfam:Chlorobium ferrooxidans DSM 13031 ctg53, whole genome shotgun sequence.